rnacentral:rRNA from 1 species
UACGGAGGGUGCAAGCGUUAUCCGGAAUCACUGGGUUUAAAGGGUGCGUAGGCGGGCCAGUAAGUCAGAGGUGAAAGCCCACCGCUUAACGGUGGAAUUGCCUUUGAUACUGUUGGUCUUGAAUUAGGUUGAGGUUAGCGGAAUGUGGCAUGUAGCGGUGAAAUGCUUAGAUAUGCCAUAGAACACCGAUUGCGAAGGCAGCUAACUGGCCCUUGAUUGACGCUGAGGCACGAAAGCGUGGGGAGCGAACAGG